GGCUGCCCUGGCCACCCUCCUGGGAGCUGUCCUCAGCUUCACCUGCAUCCCCGCCAGCACCAAAGGGGCCAAAACUGACGCCCAGGCUCCACUGCCAGGCGGCCCCCGGGCCAGUGUGUUCGACCUGAAGGCUAUCGCCUCCCUGCUGCGGCUGCCAGACGUCCCGAGGAUCUUCCUGGUGAAGGUGGCCUCCAACUUCCCCACAGGGCUCUUCAUGGUCAUGUUCUCCAUCAUCUCCAUGGACUUCUUCCAGCUGGAGGCCGCCCAAGCUGGCUACCUCAUGUCCUUCUUCGGGCUCCUCCAGAUGGAAUUUGGGAGAGUGACUGGUCCCCUGCAGAGGUGCUGCAGGCUGGGCCUGCCCUGUGGGCAGAUACUGAGCCCAGGGGCUCCUCCAGCCGGGGCCACCCCUGCACUCCCAGGCGCGUUGGCCCAGCACGCCCUGCUUAGUGGAGGAGCUGAGAUGACCAGAUAGAGAGCCUCGCCCUGGCCUGGGAGCAGCCUGCGGCCGAGCCUGUCCCACCGAAUCCAUCCCUGGGAGCAGCCUGCAGCCGAGCCUGUCCCACCGAG
rnacentral:sRNA from 1 species